UACGUAGGUGGCAAGCGUUGUCCGGAAUUAUUGGGCGUAAAGCGCGCGCAGGCGGCCUCCUAAGUCCGAUGUGAAAGCCCACGGCUCAACCGUGGAGGGUCAUUGGAAACUGGGGGACUUGAGUGCAGGAGAGAAGAGUGGAAUUCCACGUGUAGCGGUGAAAUGCGUAGAGAUGUGGAGGAACACCAGUGGCGAAGGCGACUCUUUGGCCUGUAACUGACGCUGAGGCGCGAAGCGUGGGAGCAAACAGG
rnacentral:rRNA from 1 species